UUCUCUAUAGCUUAGAUGGUAAAGAAUCUGCCUGCAGUGCAGGAGACCCAGGUUCGAUUCCUGGUUCAGGAA
rnacentral:tRNA from 1 species